GGGGGGGGGGGGUACCUUUAACUCGGUGGGUUAUGGUGUAUAUUAAGCAUAAAUGUCUUAAUCUAGGCUAUCUAGAGAAGGCAAUUUCGUUCCGAUCGGGACAAACUGAAGUUAAGUUAUCGUGAAUAAAUAUUUAAGGAUUAUAAUUAGGUCAUGAUCUUGAAAAUUAGGUCAAGGUCAAAAAUUGUGUCAACCCGUGUACUUUCUAUUCACAAUGUUGAUGCAAAAUUUCAUUUUGAAAGUCCCAUCAGGUACUGAGAUACAGCUUGGAAAUUGAUACAGUUUGGAAAUUUGGAAUGUUGAUCGUGCAGGAAGAAAAAAAGAAAUUUCUUGAUUGUGGUUUACCACUCUUAGGGGUCUAAGAAAGUGUAAGAAAAAUUGAGGCAACAAUUGAUUGUUGAAACAAGCCCGACAACAGCAAUAAGCCUUCCCCUCUGCUAUAGUGGGAACUUUAAUAACAAGCAAUAAUAGGGAUUGAUGUUUUCACCCUUUUCUCUCUUUGUAUGUCUGUUUGUGUGCAGGAUAUCUCAAAAAGUUGUGGGUAGGUUUGGUGUGUGACAAGGAUGAACUGAUUAGAUUUUGCUGAAGAUCCGAAUCCUGCUCCUAGAAUUUUUUAAAAGUGAUGAUUCACCAUUGAGAGAUAGGGCUCAAAAACUAUAUACAGCACAAUAUCUCAAAAAGUUGCAGACUGAUUCGGCUGAAACUUGGUGGACAUGCUGUUGGGUGUGUGACAAGGAAAAAUUGAUUCAAUUUUGGUGAAGAUCCGGAUCUGAUAAUUUUCAAAGUGAUUCUUCACAAUUGAGAGAUCAGACCAAAAACGAUAUAGAAGAUCCAGCAUGAGAACAUUAUUGGUCCUGCUCUUGUUGGCGAGAGAAAGCAGCAAUGUUUGGGCAAAAGAUCUGGAGGAAUAUUCUGAAAAAAUAGGGGAAGUUGGGAGUACCAACAACACUCCCUUGCCAUGCUCCACCAGAAAAACGACAAGAUGUGGACUUUGAGUGGACGUUUGUGAACGACACAAAUGUGGUGAGAUUAAACAGGAAUUUACGAAACUACCCAACUGGGAUAAAAUGAAUAAAAUACUACAUUCAUUGAUGUUUCAUCAGUCAAACAUUGUAAACUGUUGAUGAUGUACUGUGUAAGCAGAUCUUGAUAUGAAAACAAUUGAAGAUGAAAGUGUUUUUUGUCAUCUAUUUAUUCUACAUGAUGCAAGGGAAGAUGAGUGUUGGUUAGUAUAGAGGAGAUGAUAUGAGAAGGGGGUGGGGAUGCGAGGAAGUGGGAGAGAAGAAAAGAGUUUGGAAUGGAACAGGCAUAAGAGAAGAAAAGAGCAAGUGGACAUGUAUUAAGCAUAUGUAUAUGUGGAAAGGAUGAGGGGGGGGGAGGGGGGUGGGCAGUGAGAGGGAGGUAAAAAAAUCUGAGCUAUAUCUGUGUUUGUCAUAAAACUAUACCCCUUGUAUGCAGUAAGUAUGUAAUUAUUCCUGUUUCAUACACAAGGCACUUUUCAGAUACAAUUCUCAGGGAAAUACCAGUUUAGAUUUAUAACCCACACCCCAAAAAUAAACUCCAGCUCAGGAAUGGAAAUUUAGCUAACCCAAAAGCAUUGUUUUCCUGAUCUCUGGGGAGAGCUAUUUUUGAGUGUUUAACUUCGUAUAAGGGAUGACUUCUAACGUGUAUGAAAUACAAUAUGAUGAACAACGUUGCAUAUUUGAAUGUACCUAACAACUCCUUCUGAGUGAUACGUGACAUCUAUUAGAUUAGCACAUAAAGAGUUUCUUCGUAACUCAAGUCAUUGGUGAGUC
ensembl:lincRNA